GGGCCUAUAGUUUAGUGGUAGAACAAUGCAUUUGCAAUGCAUAAACGGCAGUUCGAUUCUGCCUAGGUCCA
rnacentral:tRNA from 2 species